UCCACUGGUUUUACAGAAAUAGCCGAGAGAGAGACAGAGUGUGGAGAGAAGGUGAUUUUGAAGGAGAUCAAGGAGAAGAAAGCUUGAAUCAAGAGUUUGGAACUUGUGUAAGCUUGGUUUUCAAGAUUUCUUCAAGAUUGAGAUUUGAGCUUGGAUUGAAGUGUGGAGAUAGGAGGAGAGGUGGCUGUGUUAGGGUUUGAAGAUUUGGGCAAGGUUGAUUGGGCUUGGAAGAGUGGUGGAGUUUUACCCAAACGAGGUAGGGAUUUUCUUAACCCUCAAUUUCGAACACUUUUGGCUACCCGAAUUGUGGUUAAUUUCAUUCGUUUCCGCCUUAUUGUUCAAGGGGAAACAAACCUUUGCAUGUAUACUAUUGUGCGUGAGAUACCCUUAUUGUUAAAUGAUUGUGUUUGAGGCAUUACCCUUGGACACUCGAUCACCUAUCGAGUAGUCAAUGCUCUUUAUCAUAUGUUUGAAUGAAAUUGCGCGCAAUUGAAUUUAGUUGCAUAACAUUCAUGUGUGAUAUUACAUUUGAUGCAUGGUGGAAGUGGUGGAUUGGAUUUGGUGCGUACAUCAACGUGUACUAGUGGUUUCGGUUAUUUGGCUCUAGUGACACGGUUGAUAGUACUUGUAUGGACAUGCACUAGUGGUUCCGGUUAAUUGGCUCUAGUGGCAUGGUAUGAAAUAUUUGUGAGAGCUUGUGCUAGUGGUUCCGGUUAAUUGGCUCUAGCGACAUGGCUCGGUUAGAUGUAAGAAUUACAUUUGUUUGAUGACAUGGCAUAUUGUUGCAUAGCUUUAUUUCUUAUGACAUUCUGGCCUUAUUCCUU